UUGCUGCCGCCGCUUCUCGACGAUUUCGUUAUAACAUUGGCAAAAUAGGUUAAGUGCGGAGAACAUCAGUCGUGCGGAGUUUGACGAGCCUGUGUGGCUUUAUCGAUUGUGCACUGAUGCAUGAAAGGCUAUUCGGGUCCAAGGACGUAUUGUCGGUUCGAUUUUGAAAACCCUGAGGUCGCGACCGACCUCACCGGCGCACGAACUAGUUCGAAAGUGGAGUCACAAGGUGUACUACUCAAAUACGGGCCUGAAACAGCCAUGCAGGUUCACAUCAUCUGCCUGCCUUGGGACCCUGGAAUUUAAUUGGUCGGGUUUGACUAAGAAGAAGCACCUGCUACACGACCAAUAGAGCCACAGUACACUGUUCAGGUUUCUCGAUACGUCGAGGCCCAUCCACCACACAGGCUGUCCUCCCGCCACUUGGCCACGUCCAUACUCAUGCUACCGCACAGCACCCCGCCACCUGUCGGGUCCCCGAUGUCCUGCGACGUCCAUUGUCCAUGACGGACGUGUGUGAGGGAACCCGUCGCCGAUUCCACACGUUCAACCGUCGAGCUACAACCGUGCAAUGGCGGCGGCAUCUGUCCAAGCACUCAUAGAGUUUUCGUCAGAGAUUACUAUAAGCAACUCUGGCACUAUAGUGUGUACGGGUGUUGUAAGUACGGUGGUUCAUAGCCAGCGUGGGAGCUAUGAGUAGUACACGAAUUUGUCUAAACUUUGCCCUUGUGGCUUCAAACGGCUUGGUUAACGUUUUUCAGCGCCAGCAGAUGAGGACAGAAAGAAGACGUUGAGAACUGAAGAUGUCCCCGUCCGCUCAUGCUAAACAUGUUAUCCAAGUUGGAGUGCCAACAUGCCCAACAUACUGCAGUCAAAUGGUGCUGCGACUUCGAAAAUUGGUCAUUUCCGCUGAAAUAAAGCGUUAUAAAUGCAGCAAUUCGCAGUGCUUAUGCACAUGCGCAGA